UACAGAGGUCUCAAGCGUUGUUCGGAUUCAUUGGGCGUAAAGGGUGCGUAGGCGGCGCGGUAAGUCGGGUGUGAAAUCUCGGAGCUUAACUCCGAAACUGCAUUCGAUACUGCCGUGCUUGAGGACUGGAGAGGAGACUGGAAUUUACGGUGUAGCGGUGAAAUGCGCAGAUAUCGGGAAGAACACCCGUGGCGAAGGCGGUUCUCUGGGGACGGUACUGACGCUGAGACGCGAAAGCGUGGGGAGCAAACA
rnacentral:rRNA from 1 species